AGGAAGGGGAAGGGGAGGGUGAGGGAGGCGUUGGGAGAGCACAGCGGUGUCCCGGAGGGUGACGUGGGGUCUGCCAUGUUAGAUAUGAUGGGAGGAGUGGGGGUCAGAACCGUUCUUCAGCAGAAUCGUUACUUACUGAGCGGCUGCGCUGGAAAGCUGAGGACGGUCAGAGGGAGUGUGUGUGUGUGUGAGAGAGAGAAGAGAGGGGGAGUGAGUGUGGGACUGUGUGUGAUGUCGGUGUGUAU